GACGAACGCUGGCGGCGUGCUUAACACAUGCAAGUCGUACGAAGUGGCGAACGGGUGAGUAACGCGUAAUCAACCUGCCCUUCAGAGGGGGACAACAGUUGGAAACGACUGCUAGUACCUCAUACUGAAGGAGGGGCUUGCGUCUGAUUAGGUAGUUGGAGGGGUAACGGCCCACCAAGGCGAUGAUCAGUAGCCUGUCGGGGAGGAUGAACGGCCACAUUGGGACUGAGACACGGCCCAGACGCCUACGGGAGGCAGCAGUGGGGAAUCUUCCGCAAGGGACGAAAGUCUGACGGAGCAACGCCGCGUGAGUGAUGACGGCCUUCGGGUUGUAAAGCUCUGUUAAUCGGGACGCGGUACCGGAAUAGAAAGCCACGGCUAACUACGUGCCAGCCGCCGCGGUAAUUC
rnacentral:rRNA from 1 species